rnacentral:rRNA from 1 species
UACAGAGGUCUCAAGCGUUGUUCGGAUUCAUUGGGCGUAAAGGGUGCGUAGGCGGCGCGGUAAGUCGGGUGUGAAAUCUCGGGGCUCAACCCCGAAACUGCACUUGAUACUGCGGUGCUCGAGUACUGGAGAGGAGAUUGGAAUUUACGGUGUAGCAGUGAAAUGCGUAGAUAUCGUAAGGAAGACCAGUGGCGAAGGCGAAUCUCUGGACAGUUACUGACACUGAGGCU